rnacentral:rRNA from 1 species
UAGGGGGCAAGCGUUAUCCGGAUUUACUGGGUGUAAAGGGAGCGCAGACGGCCAAGCAAGUCUGAAGUGAAAUGCAUGGGCUCAACCCAUGAAUUGCUUUGGAAACUGUUAGGCUUGAGUGUCGGAGAGGUAAGCGGAAUUCCUAGUGUAGCGGUGAAAUGCGUAGAUAUUAGGAGGAACACCGGAGGCGAAGGCGGCUUACUGGACGACAACUGACGUUGAGGCUCGAAGGCGUGGGGAGCAAACAGGAUUAGAUACCCUGGUAGUCAAGGGCG